ACGGGUGAGUAACACGUAUCCAACCUGCCGUCUACUCUUGGACAGCCUUCUGAAAGGAAGAUUAAUACAAGAUGGCAUCAUGAGUCCGCAUGUUCACAUGAUUAAAGGUAUUCCGGUAGACGAUGGGAUGCGUUCCAUUAGAUAGUAGGCGGGGUAACGGCCCGCCUAGUCUUCGAUGGAUAGGGGUUCUGAGAGGAAGGUCCCCCACAUUGGAACUGAGACACGGUCCAA
rnacentral:rRNA from 1 species